rnacentral:lncRNA from 1 species
CUUCUUCCUAAAUAAUAAUAAUAAUAAUAAUAAUAAUAAUAAUAAUAAUAAUAAUAAAAACUUUAUUUAUACCCCGCCACCAUCUCCCCAAUGGGGACUCGGGGCGGCUAACAUGGGGCCAUGCCCAGAGCAAUACAACAUAAUAAGAUAUAAAAACAAACAUAUCAUAGCACCAUUCAAAAUACAAUAAAUAAUAAUAAACAGAACAUCAAGAAAUCAAAAAAACAAUAAAGCAAGGGCAGGCCGUGUGAACACAGAGAUAAAACCCGGAGUGAGAGGGACAGAGGAGUACUCCACUAUGGGCAGGGACAUUUGGAAGGGGUAAUCUAGAGGAUAGAUGUUCGGAGGGGAGUAAUACAGAGAUCUAUAACAGAAAUUACUCACCGAAAGCACAGUGGAAGAGCCAUGUUUUCAAUUCUUUCCUAAAAGCUAACAGAGUGGGAGCUUGCCUAAUUUCAGUAGGUAGUGAGUUCCACAGUUUGGGGGUCCUCCUGGAUUCAGCGUUGACACUUGAAGCACAGGUGUCGGCGGUGGCCGGAAGGGCCUUUGCACAACUCAAGCUUGUGCGCCAACUGCGACCAUACCUCGUGAAGUCUGAUUUGACCACGGUGGUCCAUGCCUUAGUUACCUCUAGACUGGACUACUGUAAUGCACUCUACGUGGGGCUUCCCUUGAAGACGGCCCGGAAAUUACAAUUGGUCCAACGUUCGGCUGCCAGAUUAAUAACAGGGGCAAGUUACAGGGAGAGAUCCACUCCCCUGUUUAAGGAGCUCCACUGGCUGCCGUUCAUCUUCCGGUCCCAAUUCAAGGUGCAGACUAUCAUCUAUAAAGCCCUAAACGGUUUGGGACCCACCUACCUCCGUGACCGUAUCUCCUUCCAUAAACCUGCCCGAUCUUUACGAUCAUCCAGGGAGGCCCUUUUAUCACCACUGUCUUUAUCCCAGACCCGCCUUGUGAGUACAAAGGAGAGGGCCUUUUCUACUGUGGCCCCCUGAUUGUGGAACUCACUACCUACUGAAAUUAGGCAAGCUCCCACGCUGUUAGUUUUUAGGAAAGACUUGAAAACAUGGCUCUCCCGCUGUGCCUUUGGUGAGUAAUUUCUGUUAUCUCUGUGUUACUCCCACCCCGAACAUCUUUCCUCUAGAUUACCCCACUUCCAUAUGUCCCUGCCCGCAGUGGAGUACCCCUAUGUCCCUUUCACUCCAGGUUUUAUCUUUGUGUUCACGUGGCCUGCCCUUGUUUUACUGUUUUUUGAUUUCUUGAUGUAAUGCCUAUUAUCAUUUAUUGCAUUUUUAAUGGUGCUAUGAUAUGUUGUUUUAUAUUUUGUUAUAUUGUAUUGCUCUGGGCAUGGCCCCAUGUUAGCCGCCCCGAGUCUCCGUUGGGGAGAUGGUGACGGGGUAUAAAUAAAGUAUUAUUAUUAUUAUUAUUAUUAUUAUUAUUAUUAUUAUUACUUUAUGG